GGUGGAGCAUGUGGUUUAAUUCGAAGAUACACGAAGAACCUUACCUGGCCUUGACAUCCCAAGAACCUUAAGAGAUUAGGGGUGCUAGCUUGCUAGAACUUGGUGACAGGUGCUGCACGGCUGUCGUCAGCUCGCGUCGUGAGAUGUUGGGUUAAGUCCCGCAACGAGCGCAACCCUCGUCGUUAGUUGCUAACAGUUCGGCUGAGCACUCUAACGAGACUGCCUUCGCAAGGAGGAGGAAGGUGAGGACGACGUCAAGUCAUCAUGGCCCUUACGGCCAGGGCUACACACGUGCUACAAUGGGGCGUACAAAGAGCUGCAAUACCGCGAGGUGGAGCCAAUCUCUUAAAGCGUCUCUCAGUUCGGAUUGUUCUCUGCAACUCGAGAACAUGAAGCUGGAAUCACUAGUAAUCGUAGAUCAGCUAUGCUACGGUGAAUACGUUCCCGGGUCUU
rnacentral:rRNA from 1 species